GGCCGCAGCGGGGCGGUGGGGGCCUGCGAGCCCCGCCGUGCUGCCUCCGCCGGCCGCCAGGCCCUCCUUCCGUGCAGCCCCGGCUCUGCCCUACCCCCGGCAGCCGCCGAGCGAGACCGGGAGAGCGGAGCCCAGCCGGGGCAGGGCCCGGGAAGGGGACGGGACGCUGGGGGAGACCACGGGGACCCCUCGGAGGUCUGGGGAGGAGAGAGGGCUGCGGGGCCGUGGCGGACCCCGGCGGAGCUGCGCUCGGGCGGGCGAGGCCCCUCUCCCGGCUAGCGCCUCUGCGGGCGUGCCGACCACAAUGCCCCCGCCGAGGCUUUGCUCCCCGUGGGCCGCAGCUGGUCUCGCCGCCAGCUUCUCACCAGCCUCCCUUCCCGGGGCGACCCGAAGCACCAGGAGACGGCAUCGGCCUGUGACAGCCGUCUGCUCGGAGCUGGAGGCGGCCGGCGGGGUGGAGGCGUCACUCCCCCCUGGAGAGCGGUGUCACUCCCUGCUUGAAAGACGGCGUCCUCUCCCAUGGGCACCGAGAGGGGAGAGGAGUAAACGCCCCGUUCAAGCGGCACAAGAACAGCCUGCGAGGGUGAAAAGUAAGCCUGGUUCUUGGAAAAAGGGCCAGAAGAAGGAAAGCCAGCAUGCAAGUGAAGCCCAGAGGUUUACACAGAACAAAGUCCACGGUGGUCUGCGGAGCCUGGCAGGGCAGAGGGAGGAGGAUGCCGCUGGAGAUGAAAAGCAAAUCGCUGUGCUCUGCUUGGCAAGGCAAGGGGCCAGGGAGAGCCCGAGGACCAGAAGAGGAAAUAGCGAGCUGCUGUUGGGGAGCACAGGGAGGGAGAUAGAAGUAUGAAAACCUCUGCUUGUCACUGGAAGGAAGGUUUAGGACCAGCUUCCCGGCUGGGAGGAGAGCAAAGUACCCACACAGAUUGCUUGGACAGAGACUGCCGAGUCUCCCUUCGUCUCAAGGGCUGGUCGUGCAGACACACGUCAGGAAUGGUAUGCGUGUUGGGAGGCUCACUUAAUUAGUGUUUGUGAAGCGCUCCGAGGACAGGCGAUGUUCCUGAGAGGCUGAGCAGUACUUUGGCAGGUAAUGGAUGGAGCCUCUCAGAAAGAGCUCUCUCUUCACCCUGCAGCUCUUGCUCAGGCGUUUUUCCUCCAGACAGAUACUGCUGUCUGAAGGAGUCAGACUUCUGCUUUGAGCUUCCUGGAACAAGGAUGAAAGGCAGGAAUAUUCACGUCUCAGAGCUAUUUGCGUGGUCUAGCAGCCUGCCUGUGCAUUCAGGGGACACCAACACAGCAUCUCAUAGACUGUGGAGCUGUUGCACUCACUGCCUUAUAAUGGAAGAUCAGUCUGUUGAAGUUUCCAUCUUAUCAGCUGCUCCCAAGUCCGUGCAACACUGGGUGCACCAGCUGCACCAGUGCUCUGCUCUCCAGCCCCUCCAUUUGGAGAUGAAGAUGCCAGGACUCCUAAAUACCAGUGAAUGGUCUACAGCGUCUCUUUCCUUCAAACAAGACAGCGUUGGGUAACGUGAGGCUGCAGGCACUGUGUUUGGUCGGUUCAAACAUUCAGCAAGGCCACACGUCAGUCCAGGCCUGAGCUCUUCCUCCACCCGUAGCUGCCAGCACCAGCUGAUAGCCUUCCUCUCCUGGCAUUCAGUGCUUUUUCAGUGCCCCUGCCUGGGGGCAUCCCAGGUUUAUUGGUGGUGACAGGGCAGUCUGGGUUCCUCACUGGCCUUCACCUGAUCACGUUCAUUCAUUUCGUGUGCUGCAUGGGAGGGCGCGGUUGUGCUUGGAAAGCAACUGAGCGAGACUUAAGUAUCUCCAGGGCUGUCUGAGGAGCUGUUGCUUCACUGUUCAUGGCAAAUAAACCAUGGUGGGACUGGGAAAAGUCCCAUGGGUCCGCUGAAGGGCAGAGCACAACUGAGAGCAAUAGGAUGCUGUUUGCCCAGCACUGGCAUUGUGCCCCAUCCGUGGUGGAGAGCACAGGCAGGCGAAGUGCGGUCAGGCACAGGCGCUGGUGGUUAUCGCGUACAGAUACGCACAUCUCCACGCUGAGGGUGUCUAAGGACCCGGAGGAAGGACUGCAGCCACCUCUUCCAGCUGCAUCCCAGCAUGCAUCCUUGUACCAAAAAUGCUCAACCAGAGUAAAACCCAGUAUCCCUUAGCUCCUGUUGCCUGCAAUUCAGCAACAGCCCAACAGCCCCAAACAGCAAGACACUUGGCCACAGCUGCUGCAGAAAGCCCACAGGAGGAAGCAUGUUUAUAGCACAUCAGCUAUACUGUACUGGAUUAAAACUUAGCUACUUUUUGCACAUCAAAGUGAGGAAUAGUCCAUGGGAGGCAGGAUGGAAAUGCCCCUUGGGUGGCAGCACAAGCAUGCUGUGAAACACAAGUUCUCGCCUUUUCUGAGAACUCAGCUUCUCAGCAGUGGGGCUUGCAUUACCACUGCUCCCACAGGGCGGAUCUGAGGUUCAGUGCAUGGGAACAGACAAGAUGAGGCCAGCAGAGGCAGCAAGCUCGAGUCUCAUAAGCAGAAAAAAAAGCCCUGCUGAAAAAAAGCAGGUGAUGGAGGGAAGAAAUCAAACAAACUGGAAUUUGGAAAGACUUCUCUCAAAUACAUAUAGCCAUUGCCUAAAGCCAAAAGGGUAGUAAUGUCUACCCUUAAGUGCUAGUCUAAACUGAGUUGAGCUCCAGCAGUCUGACCAUUCAUACAUUGAGAAAUGCCCAGCUUCUUCUGUGUUUGGCACAAACAUUUAAUAGCAGAAUUCAAAACUCAGUAUGUUCCAUUUUAGUCUUAUGUGGAAAAUUAGUGCAGGUGAUAAUCUUAAUUGUACAACAACAUGUUAAAAAAGUUUAUUUUACAUUAUAUACAUUAGGGAACAUAUUUCAAAGCAUUACCCAUCACAACAAUAACGCAGGCCAUAAAUCACUUUAAAUUUAGUUUGGUUUUAGUGUAUAUUAUCACAAUAAAAUAUAAAGAACAUACAAAAAAAGAAGUCAAAUGUGUGCAUUUUGCUAAAACUUGGCAUUUACAUACUCCAUUGGAAAACAGCAAUCAAAAAUACUUCUGAUCAAAACUAAGUUCCUGUGAUGCAUAGUAACCAUUGUAUUGUUUGAAUGAGGUAGUAACUAAAUUAUUUUGGCCAUGUGUUAACAUCCUAAAUCAAGAAAAGUGUGAAAAUGGUUGUAAGGCCAAAAAAAAGUCAAAAUGGCAACAUCUUUGAGCCAUUUCCACAAUGUGGAAUGUUGCUCCUUUUCACUGUGAUAUGAAACCAUUUAGUAAGACCAACAGUAAUACCAAUUUUUAAUCAUUGUAUACACUAAUAAUUCAAACACCUAUUGCAGUGUUACAGCCAGGUACCACUAGUCUGGGACUGACACCCAACCAGAAAGUAUUGCUUUCAAGCAUAGAGAAGUAAUCGUAAGGAGAGUUUUAAUUAAAUAUAAAAAUACAGGUGUUUAGCUGGUUUGUUUCACAAAGAAAACUACCCAAGUAAACUAAAAAAAGAAACUUUGAAGCCCAAGUCAUAUCCACAAAGUCACAGCUUACCUUUGUGACUAAAUACAUCACAUCUCAAUACGUUGUGCAAACAUGAACACCAGUGUGUUGCAUCAAAAUUAAAACAAGAUUGUAAUCUGAUUACAGCCUUGGUUACGAUUUCUAAAAGUUAAGAUUUACUUGUAUUAGUAAAUUACAUAUAAUAAAAUACAAUAGUGUUGUUAAAUGUACUAUAUUUGUUGCUAGCAUCCCACUUUAUAAUAAACACGAGAAGUCCUUAAAAUAGUA